CUGAGAACUGAGGUCCUGGGCUGCUUCUGCCCAGGUGAUGCCUAGGAACCCAAAGGCAUCCAGCAGGAGUGGGCAUGAAUUCAGCAUUAAUUUGCCUGGUGUGUCCAUAAGGCCUGGCUGGGCUCACACAUUCCUUUCCUGUCCAGGCAGUCUGAGGUCAGGUGGAGCCACAGAGGGCUAUCGCUGUGACUGCGACAGUGAGCCAGGAUGUCCCCGGCAGGCAGUGGCUUGUGCUUCAAUGAUGAUGUGUACCUUCUGCUUUGAGAUUCUCUUCUCCCUUGCUCCUUGGAGCCAUGCAAGGACACCUGUCUGGUUACUGCCUGUGAGGUAAAAGAUCUGCAAAUCUCGACUCCCUCUGUGCUGCUGAAAUGCUGACCCUCACACAGCCAGCCUGGGUCCCUGGUGAGUGUGCACACCACUGCAAUCUGGUUCAUCUUCUGCACUGUGGAGAGGACAGGCUGCAACUGCCAGGACUCCGGGGAGGAAAGGAUCUGUGAAGUGGAAAAGCCUUAAGUCCAUAGGAUGCCCAUGUGUUUCAAAGCCAGCCUUGAUGGCCACGUGACUCUGAGAACUAUUUGAGCUUUAGUGUCUACCUGGGUCAGUGUCCAUGAGCAUCCCGAGAGAGUUGUUCUGCAUGUGUCCACUGGUCCACUCCUUACUUCCCAGCAUCACCAACAGCCACCUCCUUUUGUAAGCACCUUUUAAUUAAGUGGUUUGUCCAAAGUGACAAGUCCGGAACUCAAGGCUCCAAACCCCAACUCAGGGCUAUUUAGAAAGGAUUCACUGUGUCCCUUCACAUUCUCAACCAUAGGAACAAUGGUGGCACAAUGCUUUUUCUCCUGACAUGGACACUGCUGAGCAUACGAAAUGGAUAUGAGGGAGGAGUCCACUCUUCUUCUUGAGGAUCAUCUAUAGCGGCUGGCUCCCCUGACUGAAGCCUGCUGGGUGGUAGCAGCAGAAGGCAGGCUGAGCAUGAGGAACAGCAGUUGGUAUACCCUCCCCGGCAGGCCUGGAUGAACAGUGAUAAGCCAUCUCCAAUGAUGUCUCUGGUGCUCUCUGCUCUUGCUUCCUCUAAAGUCAUGACUCAGGAAUACGAUCACAUCCUCAGGAUGACACAGGAGUUAAAUAUAAUCCUGAAAUGUAGUCGAAAACUGCUGCGUCGACUCCUGCAUGGGACCCUAGUAUUCCAAGGCUGAGGGAAGAGCAUUGCUGUGAGUUCAAGACCAGCCUGAACUACACAGUGGAGAGGACCUUGGAACAUCUGGGCUGAGCAUUCUGGCAUACCAUUUUGCUGGCUUAUCCCCCCCCCCCCCCCACACACACCCUUUUCUGGAUGCAAUAUGAACAAGGCAUUUUCAUCUAACGUUUCAGUGUCCCUUCUCCACAGACAUCAAGGGCUUUGGUGGAUACCUGUGUUAGCAAGCUAAGGAUCCUGUGGAAAUGGUACGGGCAAGAACAAAUGGCAGCAGAGGGAUUUUUUUUAUUAGCUAUGCAAUCCUGGGAAAGUUUCUUCUUCAUUUCGAGGCUUAAUUUCUCAUUCAUCAAAGAGAGGGGACUUAGCAAUGUUUUU